GGGCGAAUGGUCUCAACGGUAAGAUACUGAAUGGCUGAUUCUGAAUCAGCCCCAAGUGAUGUUGGUUCGACUCCGACUUCGUCCA